rnacentral:misc_RNA from 1 species
UCCGGUUUGUCACCGGCAGUCCCAUUAGAGUGCUCAACUUAAAUGUAGCAACUAAUGGCAAGGGUUGCGCUCGUUGCGGGACUUAACCCAACAUCUCACGACACGAGCUGACGACAGCCAUGCAGCACCUGUGUUACGGCUCCCUUUCGGGCACCCCCUGAUCUCUCAGGGGUUCCGUACAUGUCAAGGGUAGGUAAGGUUUUUCGCGUUGCAUCGAAUUAAUCCACAUAAUCCACCGCUUGUGCGGGUCCCCGUCAAUUCCUUUGAGUUUUAACCUUGCGGCCGUACUCCCCAGGCGGUCAACUUCACGCGUUAGCUUCGUUACCAAGGCAUUGCUGCCCCGACAACCAGUUGACAUCGUUUAGGGCGUGGACUAC